AGAUGAAUCAAAGAAGGUAAUAAUCCUGUAGUCGAAAAUGUUGUCUCUCUUGAGUGGAUCCUGAGUACGACGGAGCACGUGAAAUUCCGUCGGAAUCUGGGAGGACCAUCUCCUAAGGCUAAAUACUCUCUAGUGACCGAUAGUGAACCAGUACCGUGAGGGAAAGGUGAAAAGCACCCCGGAAGGGGAGUGAAAUAGAACCUGAAACCGUGUGCUUACAAGUAGUCAGAGCCCGUUAAUGGGUGAUGGCGUGCCUUUUGUAGAAUGAACCGGCAAGUUACGAUUUGAUGCAAGGUUAAGCAGUAAAUGUGGAGCCGUAGCGAAAGCGAGUCUGAAUAGGGCGUUUAGUAUUUGGUCGUAGACCCGAAACCAGGUGAUCUACCCUUGGUCAGGUUGAAGUUCAGGUAACACUGAAUGGAGGACCGAACCGACUUACGUUGAAAAGUGAGCGGAUGAACUGAGGGUAGCGGAGAAAUUCCAAUCGAACCUGGAGAUAGCUGGUUCUCUCCGAAAUAGCUUUAGGGCUAGCCUCAAGUGAUGAUUAUUGGAGGUAGAGCACUGUUUGGACGAGGGGCCCCUCUCGGGUUACCGAAUUCAGACAAACUCCGAAUGCCAAUUAAUUUAACUUGGGAGUCAGAACAUGGGUGAUAAGGUCCGUGUUCGAAAGGGAAACAGCCCAGACCACCAGCUAAGGUCCCAAAAUAUAUGUUAAGUGGAAAAGGAUGUGGCGUUGCCCAGACAACUAGGAUGUUGGCUUAGAAGCAGCCAUCAUUUAAAGAGUGCGUAAUAGCUCACUAGUCGAGUGACACUGCGCCGAAAAUGUACCGGGGCUAAACAUAUUACCGAAGCUGUGGAUUGUCCUUUGGACAAUGGUAGGAGAGCGUUCUAAGGGCGUUGAAGCAUGAUCGUAAGGACAUGUGGAGCGCUUAGAAGUGAGAAUGCCGGUGUGAGUAGCGAAAGACGGGUGAGAAUCCCGUCCACCGAUUGACUAAGGUUUCCAGAGGAAGGCUCGUCCGCUCUGGGUUAGUCGGGUCCUAAGCUGAGGCCGACAGGCGUAGGCGAUGGAUAACAGGUUGAUAUUCCUGUACCACCUAUA
rnacentral:rRNA from 1 species